GCCGGCAUAGCUCAGCAGGCCAGAGCAGCUCAUUCGUAAUGAGCGGGUCGGGGGUUCAAAUCCCUCUGCCGGCU
rnacentral:tRNA from 1 species